CUUGCAGCUGCUGUAUGGGACACCUGAGCCGCCAUGUUUGAACACCCUACUGCUUGGCAGAGAUGCUAUUGCGCAUAUGUGACUCUAGGCAGAGAUCGUAAUGAAGUAAGAUGCCUCACUCCACUGGAAAAAACAAAUCUGGUGACAAUAGUCAAUAGACUUUUUUCAUUGUCGGUUUUUGUCGACAGCCUUGACUAAUUGUUGCAGCCCGACUAUUAACUGUUUUGUAAAUUGUAUAGAUGUUCUUCCUUUAUUUCUAAUCUGUUUUUGUGAUGUGAAGCACUUUGUAACUGUUUAGAAAAGUGCUCUAUAAAUAAAGUUAUGAUUAUUCAAUAGGUUUCAAAUAGUUUACUUUUCAGUAUGCAUAACUUUUCCUUUAAACUUAACUUCGCUGCUGAACCUUUAGGGCUCUGAUCUUAAACAUUUCCAUUGAGGGUUAUGUUAGUCGGGUGAACAGGACUCUUUAUCACACUGUUUAAGACUUAUUCAGACUCCCCUUUUGUACCAAAAUCAAACCAUAUGUUUUGAAUAGUGUCACACUUUUACAUCGGAAAGGACGCCGAGUAACACAUCUGCUAGGUUGCACCACUUUGAUUUAAAAGUUACCCUCAAAAAAGAAGUUCAUGACGCCAAUGAACGUGGAGAUUGUAGACUCGUAAAUGGCCCGUAUGGUUCUGUACGGCUCCUUCGUUGGUGAGUCGGGGUUUCUUCAACGAACUGUGUGAUAAACACUCAGCCUAAGCCUUUUUGAACAGCAGAUGUUAUGUUACACAAUGCGAGUAAACUAAGAAGACAAGUUGAACCCCGGUUAAGUCCACAGCCACAGGUCUGUGCGGUUAUCUUUCAUGCCUGGACCCUUCCCAGGGUGCAAGUUUACCGACCUCAGUGUGACUCAAUCCUUCCCUUCUGCUACCUUUAGUGGAAAAUAGACUCGCAGAGAAGAGACAAUAAUCAAAAUAAUCACUGUAGUGUAGAACAAACAGCAUGAAGUAGAAGCUUCUGCCUCUUUCCCUCGCCGAGCGCCAUGGCAACAUUCACUUUGAUAUGCAGAUACCCCCGACAUAUGUACAGUGCAGCACCAAGGGGAAUAUUGACUUUUUGGAGAGGCAGAGAGCUUCUGCUUUAAUUGUGCUUCUCAUUUUUGGGGCUUUUUGUGCUAUUAAACCAAAGCAUGUCUUCUCGUCUUUCCCCAGAUGCUGAGAGAGGACUAUGUGUCAGAUCCGGGGACUGCACACUGAACAGGAUGCUCCCAUAACUGCUACCUUCACGUAAAUCCACACAACCUGCAGGCUGGAGGUCCUCAUCAGAGUUCACGUUGGAGCAGUCGGCACGAUGAAGCGCUCCGGGUAGCUUUUCUUUCCAGGGAUUCAGAGUCUUUCUGGGAAGGGUAACUCUGCCAGACAUUUAACUUCAAACCGAGCUACAGGAUUGGAUACCAUGGAUCGCCUGUGUCCGGGUGAAGGCGUGAGCCGGACGCAGGCCCUUGUCGGAAAGCUGUAGCUGUCUGGAUUUUCCUUCAACUUUUUCCCCCCCUGCGAUUUUUACUGUGGAGUAAUUUUGUUUUGGAGCAGGAAUGGAUUCAUCUGAGGCCAGCAAACAUGGCAAGAAGUCGACAAGUCAGAAGCUGGAGGACCAGAAAAAGGUAGGACCAACUUCUUCAUAUUUCUGCGUUUUUCUUCUGCGAGUUUGUGCUGCUUCUACUAAAAGCAGACAGCUUUGGCUUCAGCUGCUCUGGAGCUGGAGCAUGUGGAAGCAGAGGGAUGAAAGCUUGUUUAUUGCUUGGCUUCUUUUCUUCUUUACAAAAAGGAGAACAUGUUGGUCCAAUUGCUGCUGUUGUCUGAAUUCCCAGUAGCUCCUCUGCUCCUAAUAGCUAUUUUUAAAGACGAGGAAGGAGGAAAGGUGGAGUCUGUGCUCCCUUCAGCUUCUCCAGACUUUCAUCUCUGCUCAUGUGGCGUGGCGGGAGGCAUGCCUCGCCCACUGCAAACCCCCUCAGGGAUACAUAUUUACUCUGUGUUUGAGAUGCUUUUUCAUGUUAAGCGCUCUGGGAACAGGAGGGGGGGUUGAGACCUGUGGAAAGGAGACUAACAGUUCUCCUGUAAAAUGAAACCAAGCGGGCUGUCAGUCUGCUGAUCUGCUGAGGAGGCUGGAGCCUGGAUGGUUAAUGGUGAGACAGCAGAAGUGAACUGGAGUCUGACUCUGAGCUCUGUGACCCGGGUGGGGUUGAGUUCAUGUGCGGCGGUGGUGGUGGCUGGAUCGAUUGUGAGAAUUCAGGCGUCAGGCAGAGUUCAGCAGUCUGCGUGAAGCUGGAUUUGAGGACAGCAGAUCUGGUCUGUCUUUUCUGGUCAAUGAAACAGUCACAGUUACAUAAUGCGUUUACACCGAGCUGCCUUUCACGGAAUACUGCCCUCAAUCAGCGCUAGCUUUGACAGAAAACUUUUAAUUUUAGUCUAUUUUAAGUCUUUGUGUGUAACGACAGCGUUUAAGGGCCACACUAACAGAAAAAUUAAAGUUUCUAAAAUAAAGUUGUGACUAUAAGAGAGCAAAAUCUUUGAGUAUUAAGAAUACAGACAUCACGUUUUAGGAGAAUUAAGUUGUCAAGUUUUAAAAAAGUUCAUGUGUUAGGGGAUAAAAGUCCUUAUGUUUCGAGAAUAAAGUCUUUCUAGGGAAAUAAAGUCAAAUCAUCGCAAGACUAAAGAUGUCAGGAGAAUAAGUUGUGUUUUAUGUUCCUACAAAAACGUUAUUAUCUCACAUGAAUUGAGUCUUUUUGCUACAAAAAAAAGUUUGUGGGUGUAACGAGAUUGGGUCUUUAUGUUACAAAAUUAAAAAGAAGUUUUGUUUAAGGAAUAAAGUUAUGUUACAUGUUUAAAGUGAUAAUGUUUAGAGAAUAAAGUGGUUUUGUUACCAGUAAAAAGCUACAAGAAUAAAGUUGUUAUCACAAGGUUACGUAACAAGAUUUACACAUUGUUGCACUUUGGAGAUAAAGUCUGUUUUUAACAAGAUUAAAAGUUAUUAUGUCUAAAGUUAUUUUUUCUAUUAUGUUACAAGAUUCAAAGUAAAUGUGUUACAAGACUAAAGUCGUUCUGUUUUUAGAAUGUAGUUUUCAUGUUACAAGAUCAAUGGUGAUUUGUUGCAACAUUCCAGUCAUUGUGAAACGGAGUAACUUUGUAGUGUUACGAGAUGAAGGUCAUUAUGUUAUAACAAAUUUUGUGAAUGAAGUUUUGUUACGGGAAAAAAGUUGAGCAUAAAGUCUUCAGGUUGUGACAAGAAUAAUUUCGUGUGUAGAAACUAUCAUUAUAUUUUGAUCAUAAAGUUUUAUCAGUUUUAUUGUUGCUUUGAUAAUAAAGUUAAAGUUUUAGAAUGAAGUUCUUGUGUUUUUAGAUUAAUAGUUUUAAUAAGUUUUGUUUUCACAAGGCGCCCCAUCCUUGUGUGAGCCUUUUGAUAAGCUGUCUAAUAGCUUGCUAGUUUGAUCUUCUUACCAUAGACUGAUUAACUUUUCCGAUGUCCCCUUGGUGAACAAAUCUACACGCAUGUUGGCAGAUAAAUGGUGAUCUGUAAAGGAAAACAAGCUUUAAAGAGGCUGGUUUUCCACUCGUGAGGUGCAGAUAUAUCGGCCUCAUUAUUGAUCAUCAGGACAAUAUAGACACUGAUUUCCCCAAAACGUUGUUGUCAGUUAAAUUUUGACCCUAUUUCGAGCAGAAGGAGAUGAACAAACACUUUUGGUCAACUUUUUCCCAGACAAAACAGACGCUGCUCCAGAUGCGAUGGAGAGGAGCUCACUGGCCUUGACGCUCUUCUUUCUAUUCUUGUUCAUCCACCUGCACAGACUUAGACACACACACACACAUAUAUACACACACCCAGACUAAUGCAGACACAGAUAAUGGAUACACACACAAACACAGAGCGUCUCUCUUUCUCUGCCUCUGACCUGAUUCCUCUAAUGAAGUGCUUUUGAUAAGCGUAAUGAUUGUCCAGGCGAAGCGCGGGGAACAUCUGAGUGCAGCGAGAGCGCGGUAAUACAUCAGGCCUGACAUUUGUAGCACUAUUAAGAUCUCAUAAAAAAGAUGAUUGUGCUUUAUUAUUUUUUUCUCCUCUUGGACCUGUGUGCCAUCUGGGAGUGCAGUUUUUUAAAGCCGCACCGAGACGAGCGCUGCCAGGCAACAGCAUUUUGUACCCUUUUAGAGGAGGGAGGCACUGAGAGGAAGGUGUGUGUUCUUGCAGAGCUCUGCAGAGAAGCAAAGAGGUGAAAAUGUCCAUGUGACCACAAACCUCUUAAAUUAGACGUGCUCUCUUUAUGUUAGAUUUAAAUGGAUGCUCCUUUUCCGCAGAUUCAUGUGAGUAAAUGUCAACAAAACAAGGCUGCGUCCUUGAGCAGCAGAUUUUGUGUCAGGCCUACAAACCGAAGCAGCUUUCUAGGUGAACGGACGCUCUCUUGGAGCUGAGAUUGAAACUGAGCAAAGAGUGACAUGAAAUAUUCAUCUGGUGGGGGAUUGAUUUGGCCCAGUCUGGCUACCAUUUUGGUUUUGGAGAUGCGAGUCGUGCCAAAAGAUAAGCUCCCCCUCUCCAAGUCUUCUGUCGCCUUCAGCGAGGAGACGACUGUUUCAGAGCUUCCUGGAAGGAUUUAACAUUCCUGGUGAUGUCUCUGUGGUUACACUGGGAUGUGUGCUGUAAUUGCCUGACUCGAUGGUUUAUGUCUCGUCCCCGAAGUCUCAUACUGACUCCACUCUGUCAGCCUUCAUAGUUUAACCCGGCAGAAGAGAGAUGCUGUUACUCACAACACACAUUUAAAAAAAAAAAAAGCAUGUAAAGAGUGUAAUUUUCUGUCACAGUUUGACGAUUUAUAACAGGCUGAGGUUGGCACUUUGAAAAUUGGUGCAGAAAAGAGAGCAGAAACUGAGAUGACUGAUGAACACCUCGCUCUUGUCUGCACAGUUCAGCUCCAUUAGCUUGAUUCAUUAGCAGAAAGUUAGGGCCUAGUUGUAUUAUCAUAUUCUGAUUGGAUUAAGGGCCUGUGUCCACUCAAGGUGAUCAUGUGUUUGAUAUUAUGUCCGAGCACUGACAUUACAAACGUUUGGACUCAUCUAAAGACAUCAUUAAUCUAGUGCUCCUCCUCCUCCUCCUUCCAUCACCCAGGAGUCCUCAUUUCUCCCUCUUUCCUUCCCACGCCUCCUUCCCUCCCCUCCUCCCUUCCUCCCCCUUUAAUUCAUCCUCCCCGGUGGAUUCUGCUCCUCAUUUCCACGCUCAUCCCUGUGAAUGAGGAUUCAGUGAUUACCACUGGUCUGCUCACCUGACCUCAGGGGGAUAUUUGCUCGUAGUGAUUGGUUGUGGAUGGUCGGGCAGGGGGCGGCAGCUUGUUGCUAAGGCAUUCCCAGGAAGUAUUCUCUCCAACCAAUCACCUGGGAGUUUAACUUUUGCUGUUUCAUCCAUUACAUCCCUUCAAAUGUGUUGUUUUGCAGAGGUAAUGCUUUCAUGCUUUACCCAUGUGUUAAAGCCGGCCCACUGGGAGGGAGCUCUUAUUGAGUUUUGUCAGAAUUAACUGGCUCGCCCCCCUGUGGACUCUUCAUAUGUGACGGACUGUUUUGAAGCUCCGGGGCUCUGGCUGGCGAAAGACGAGUGAAUAAUUUAACACGUGAUUGGUAUGUAUGAUUAGGUUUUAAUGCAAACCAUGGUGCCAGAGCAGAGGAAGCUACGGCAGUUGGUGAAAACACGCAACAUAUGUCGUCUUAAUAAUUUACCCGUAUACAGAUGUGCUGCACGCUGUUAUAACAGGCAACCAGGAGUUCAUCAUGAAAGCAUCAUAACAGUUACUGUUGUGCUGCAUCACCUCUUUCUUCAAGGAUACUCUGCUGAAUCUAUUAUUAAUACUGUAUUAGUGAAGGUUCAAGAUGUAGGUCACAAUUGUGCACAAGCUGUAGCAGUGCCACCUACUACUUCCAGGAAGUGCAGCUUAUCUAGAGGCUACUGCGAUUGUGUGCAACCCAGAUGUAAAGAUAUGGAGAAAUGGGUGUGUAACUGAGAGGAACAACGUGUAGCUGCACAAACACAAAGCCGUGGGUGUUCACCCUGCUGGUGGUGCUAGCUCUGCUAAUGUUCCUCACACUCUGCACACCAUUUUUACUGCACUCUUGCAGUCAGAUCGUUUGCAUACGCAGGAGAAUCUUUGAGAUCCAGCCAUUCAGGCUGCAAAUGAAGGUGGGAUACAUCUUUUCACUUUGGUCCAGGAGAAUGCACACUUAUGCUGCAUUCCAGUUAUUCCGGAAGUUGAAUAUCGGAGCUGGGAAUGACGUUACACCCGAGUUGAUGGCAUUCCAGUAAACAAGUCAGAAAACCAAGAGGGAUGCCUAUUGUCAGCCGUUGUUAGCUGUUGUUAACAAUUGUCAGCUGUCGUUAGCCAUUGUUUGUUGUUGUUAGCAAUACCAGUUGUAAACAACGUAUAACGCAGUAUUUUACUUUUACAAACACCGUAGCACCAUAGUGUUCACAGUUAGACGUUGGGCAGUAAAACAUAAACCACUUAUUUAAUUUCACAAAAAACAAACAGAAGUGCUGAUAAGUAAUACAUUUCGAGAGAUUUCACUGUUACUCUUUACUGUUGAUGCACUGCACGGCCAUCUUUGAUUAUGACGUGGUUGUCAAGUCAAGGAUUGUCCGACUCAGGAAAUCCGACUUCAGGGAGGCAUUCCACGUGAUUUUCCAACUCGAAGCUCGAAAAUCCCGACUUCUGAGUACACCUGGAAUGCAGCAUUAUGCAUUAUCAGCCUCAUGAAGGACCGCCCACUUUCUCUGUAUCCAUAGCAACAAUUCACUGUACUCACACUUGCUUUCCACAAAUAAAUGGUUUGAAUUAAGAAAGUGUCGCACACUUGGCAAACUUUGGCAAAGUCAUCCGGGAAACAAGAGCCUGCAACAGGCACAGCAUAUUACCAAUUAGUGUUAGAAACAAUAUCCCCAAAAUCUCAGAGACUCUGCAGGGACGCUAUCAAACAGCUGCCUCUGAGGACACAAGAGGACGGGUGACUUCCCCGCCCAGCUGUGACCAGGGUCAGAACAGCUCAGACUGUCUCUGUUUGGCUGCAGAGAUACUUGUUAAAGAUAGAGCAGCUCUCUGACUUCCCAGCAGUGUCACAGGGUUCAGUUUCUCCCUGCACAGACCCUCACUCCCUUUACUCAGUUUUUCCACUCUUACCAAACCUCCAUCCCCUCUGUCCCCCUCCAUCUCCAUUUGUUGUCCUCUCUCCCUGACUCUUCUUUCUCUCUGUAUGACCUGCACAACUCCACUUUCAUCACUUUGCCUCUGAGGUUUGUUUCCCUGAACGCUGCAGUCGUGAUGCACUCCUGUUCCGACAUGUUUAUCCUCUAACUUUCUUCGGCGGUCUAAACCCGCUAAGUCCUCGUGGAAUGAUCCGCUGAUGUACUAUCUCGAGCAAAAUGUGUGAGUAUACGAUGGCUGAGGCGGAGGAGUUCACUUAGGAUGUCACCACAUUAUUAGGAGGAGCUCUGACAUGCAGAAAGAUUGUAUGAAAGCUGGAUCCUGAAAUCUGUGAAAACAUGGUGCGGAUUUCCUGCCAAGAAAAGAAGAUUGAAGCUCUGUCAGCAGCUCUGAAUACGCCAAAAAAAUACGAAUACAAAAGUGAAAAAACUCUCACUUCUCUG